rnacentral:tRNA from 1 species
GGGGAAUUAGCUCAAUUGGCUAGAGCGCUGGCAUCGCACGCCAGAGGUUGGGGGUUCGAGUCCCCUAUUCUCCA